rnacentral:rRNA from 1 species
AACGGCCCCCACGGGUGGGGGUGUGAAGGUAUAGGAGGAAUAAGGGUCGGCUAACUCCGUGCCAGCAACCGCGGUAAUACGGAGGAUCCGAGCGUUAUCUUGAAAUGGGAGGAUUAAAGGGUGCGUAGGCUGUUCGCUAAGUCAGCGGUGAAAUGGCCCGGCUCCACCGUGCAGCUGCCGUUGAAACUGGCGGGCUUGAGUGGGUUCGAGGCAGGCGGAAUGCGCGGUGUAGCGGUGAAAUGCAUAGAUAU